GAUGAACGCUGGCGGCGUGCCUAAUACAUGCAAGUCGAGCGAAGCGGGGACGGGUGAGUAACACGUGGAUAACCUCCUAUAAGACUGGGAUAACUUCGGGAAACCGGAGCUAAACCGGAUGCUUAUAGAUGGAUCCGCGCUGCAUUAGCUAGUUGGUAAGGUAACGGCUUACCAAGGCAACGAUGCAUAGCCGACCUGAGAGGGGGAUCGGUCAAACUGGAAAUGAGACACGGGCCAAGAUGCUAAGGGAGGGAGGAGGAGGGAAUCUUCCGCAAUGGGCGAAAUCCUUGAGGGGCAAACGCGGGGGAGGGAUGGAGGGCUUCGGAUCGGAAAACUCUGGUAUUAGGGAAGCGGUACCUAAUCAGAAAGCCACGGCUAACUACGUGCCAGCAGCCGCGGUAAUAC
rnacentral:rRNA from 1 species